GAUGAACGCUGGCGGCGUGCUUAACACAUGCAAGUCGAACGGAAAGGCCCUGCUGUUGUGGGGUGCUCGAGUGGCGAACGGGUGAGUAACACGUGAGUAACCUGCCCUUGACUUUGGGAUAACUUCAGGAAACUGGGGCUAAUACCGGAUAGGAGCUCCUGCUGCAUGGUGGGGGUUGGAAAGUUUCGGCGGUUGGGGAUGGACUCGCGGCUUAUCAGCUUGUUGGUGGGGUAGUGGCUUACCAAGGCUUUGACGGGUAGCCGGCCUGAGAGGGUGGCCGGCCACAUUGGGACUGAGAUACGGCCCAGACUCCUACGGGCGGCAGCAGUGGGGAAUAUUGCACAAUGGGCGGAAGCCUGAUGCAGCAACGCCGCGUGCGGGAUGACGGCCUUCGGGUUGUAAACCGCUUUCGCCUGUGACGAAGCGUGAGUGACGGUAAUGGGUAAAGAAGCACCGGCUAACUACGUG
rnacentral:rRNA from 1 species